rnacentral:lncRNA from 1 species
CGUGCGCACAGGACGGGACGGGAGGGCGGAGCGACUGCGCAGAUCAGGAAAAUUGUCACCUCUGGCCUCAGGGAAACUGAGGCUCUGAGCAGUUAAGAGGCCAACGAUCCAGGUUUAUGCUAUCAGUGUCUGAGAUACAAUUAAGUCACCUUUUUGGGUGACAUUUCCCUUGACUAGUACCUCAAGAUUAUGAUCCAGGUGGACCAUCCCUCCAUUGCCUCCAGACAUGUCUAUGACGCUACCUAGGGAUUGUGAAGAUUUACCACCUGGUGGAAAAUUAAAAAAAAAAAGACUUAUUCUGCAAAUUGACCAAGCUUAAGAGAUACAGCACUGAGAAUUCACCCACUACAGAGCUGGUAACCAGGCCUUCAGAGUAAGCUGUGAUGUAUAGCCAUUCUCCUCAGCAGCCUGUUUGACUGAGGGAUAUAGGAAUGACUGCCCUUACCCAUGUUUUUGUUCAGAUUUAUGGUUCUAAAUCUGAUGGAAAAUCUAUCAUUGGACCAUUUGAUUCUUCCUAAAGAAAGGCCAAACCACCUGUCAAACCCACGAGCAACACAGCAAUGGCUAAGCUGAAGAAGCCAAGUUAUAUGUCUAGCUCCUCUGUGGGUGGCAGGAUCCAGCUGUGGGGAGUCCAAGGUUCCUUGUGUUCUUCUGGCUUGACUAUGGUAUUUCCAAUUUGGAGGCACAAAGAAUUGAGAACUUGGGGAUCCACUGAGGUCUGAGGCAUGGUGGUACCAGAAGAAAUAAAGGGGCCAUCAGCAUGAAGCUGGUCUCCCAUUGACAGCACCCUGACUUCUCCAUCAGGUUCUAUCAGCAUGUCUACUGUGAGGUUGGUGACGCUGUCUGCAGGUAAACUUCAGAGCCACUUGGACUGGGUUUAUAGCACAAAGCUGUCCUGUGAUCAGGGGAAUAACAGCACCUACCGGCUGGACAUGGGAACACAGGGGAGGCAGCCCUCAGAAGGUCAGCACCAGAGGCCAGUGCAGGGCAGGCACCAGUGCGGUCAGAAGAGGGCUUCGGAUCCACUGGCGCUGAACUGAUACAUGCUUCUGAGCCUUGAUAUGGGCGCUGGGAACUGAACCUGGGUCCUCUACAAGAACAAGUGAGCUUAACUGCCAAGCCAACUCUCCAGCACACAAAACUAGUUCCCUUAACCUUUGUGUUUAUUUGUACAUGACCAUCAUAUACGUCCAGACCAGUAAAAAACUACAAUCUAUUUUAUUAAAAACAAAACUAACUUGUAAGAAACUCAACUGUACACACCCAUGUGCUCAGUGUGCACACACAUGUGCACACAUUACUCUCCUGGUGGGUUAAUGCUUUGUCAUUUGGUAUCUAACUUAAUAAACACGUUCUUCUUUGCUGCACUUUAGGACUUUAAGGAAGGAUCUGAACGCCAGCCAGUGCCGCAUGAUGCUCCUGAGAUCUUCCAUUCUUCCAAGAACAACCAUAGCAUAUACAAGACAGCACACCACCGUCGCCACCGCCAGUGCCGCUGUACUGGUGGGAUACAUACACUUUCCAGCUUGUGAAUCGGGAGGCACACUUUCAAACAAAAACACUCUGUACAGCCUCAAGAGAAGGCUGCCUGCAACUGCUAGAGGUGGAGACACCACACAUGCUAUCGCAGUCCUUGGGUAAUAACUGUGUGUCAUAAAUAGGAUGUGGCAUUUCAGAAUGUCUUUAAAGCUAUUUCCUUUUGUUCAACUAAUUUAAUUUACCAAAUGCUCCUGGGGAAAGGGAGGGGGAUCAAGAUGCUGACUCCACAUUUCCUGGGGGGGGGGGGGGAGAAUCACCAUUUCCUUA